UGCCUCUAUCUUGUGUAGAAAAAUCAGGAUUGAAAAGAUUUAUGAGCGUCAUUUGUCCACGCUAUAAAAUUCCAUCACGAACUACUAUAACUGGCCUCAUGGAACAACGAUACGCCACUACCAAAGCCAUUUU